rnacentral:piRNA from 1 species
GAGAUGAAGGACGGAGAAUAGUA